rnacentral:rRNA from 2 species
CCGGAGAAGUGCAUCGGAAACUGGAUAACUUGAGUGCAGAAGAGGGUAGUGGAACUCCAUGUGUAGCGGUGGAAUGCGUAGAUAUAUGGAAGAACACCAGUGGCGAAGGCGGCUACCUGGUCUGCAACUGACGCUGAGACUCGAAAGCAUGGGUAGCGAACAGGAUUAGAUACCCUGGUAGUCCAUGCCGUAAACGAUGAGUGCUAGGUGUUGGAGGGUUUCCGCCCUUCAGUGCCGGAGCUAACGCAUUAAGCACUCCGCCUGGGGAGUACGACCGCAAGGUUGAAACUCAAAGGAAUUGACGGGGGCCCGCACAAGCGGUGGAGCAUGUGGUUUAAUUCGAAGCUACGCGAAGAACCUUACCAGGUCUUGACAUCUUGCGCCAACCCUAGAGAUAGGGCGUUUCCUUCGGGAACGCAAUGACAGGUGGUGCAUGGUCGUCGUCAGCUCGUGUCGUGAGAUGUUGGGUUAAGUCCCGCAACGAGCGCAACCCUUGUUACUAGUUGCCAGCAUUAAGUUGGGCACUCUAGUGAGACUGCCGGUGACAAACCGGAGGAAGGUGGGGACGACGUCAGAUCAUCAUGCCCCUUAUGACCUGGGCUACACACGUGCUACAAUGGACGGUACAACGAGUCGCGAACUCGCGAGGGCAAGCAAAUCUCUUAAAACCGUUCUCAGUUCGGACUGCAGGCUGCAACUCGCCUGCACGAAGUCGGAAUCGCUAGUAAUCGCGGAUCAGCAUGCCGCGGUGAAUACGUUCCCGGGCCUUGUACACACCGCCCGUCACACCAUGAGAGUUUGUAACACCCAAAGUCGGUGGGGUAACCUUUUAGGAGCCAGCCGCCU